rnacentral:rRNA from 1 species
UGGGGAAUAUUGGACAAUGGGGGCAACCCUGAUCCAGCAAUGCCGCGUGUGUGAAGAAGGUUUUCGGAUUGUAAAGCACUUUCGACGGGGACGAUGAUGACGGUACCCGUAGAAGAAGCCCCGGCUAACUUCGUGCCG